GAGUAACAAUGACACCAAGAUUUUUACGUGGAAAACCCUUCAGAAUAAGGGAAAAAACCACGGCCCUAAGAGGAGCAACUGAUAUCACUAUAGUAAGGAAUUUUACACUUUGUAGGUCCGAGAAAAAUACUCCAAAGACCACUACAACACUCAAAAGAAAAUAACCCUCUUUUGAUAUUUCCACCUCACUACAAUACCGCUCACUCUCUAUUUUCCUCACAGACUAUUUUCUUAUACCCUGUCUGCGAAACCUUA
rnacentral:lncRNA from 1 species